GACGAACGCUGGCGGCAGGCUUAACACAUGCAAGUCGAACGCACCUUUCGGGGUGAGUGGCAGACGGGUGAGUAACGCGUGGGAAUCUACCCUUCUCUACGGGAUAGCUCCGGGAAACUGGAAUUAAUACCGUAUACGUCCUGAGGGAGAAAGAUUUAUCGGGGAAGGAUGAGCCCGCGUUGGAUUAGCUAGUUGGUGGGGUAAAGGCCUACCAAGGCGACGAUCCAUAGCUGGUCUAAGAGGAUGAUCAGCCACAUUGGGACUGAGACACGGCCCAAACUCCUACGGGAGGCAGCAGUGGGGAAUAUUGGACAAUGGGCGCAAGCCUGAUCCAGCCAUGCCGCGUGAGUGAUGAAGGCCCUAGGGUUGUAAAGCUCUUUCAGUGGGGACGAUAAUGACGGUACCCACAGAAGAAGCCCCGGCCAACUUCGUGCCAGCCGCCGCAGUAA
rnacentral:rRNA from 1 species